UAAUGGGUCAGCGACUUAUAUUCUGUAGCAAGGUUAACCGAAUAGGGGAGCCGAAGGGAAACCGAGUCUUAACUGGGCGUUAAGUUGCAGGGUAUAGACCCGAAACCCGGUGAUCUAGCCAUGGGCAGGUUGAAGGUUGGGUAACACUAACUGGAGGACCGAACCGACUAAUGUUGAAAAAUUAGCGGAUGACUUGUGGCUGGGGGUGAAAGGCCAAUCAAACCGGGAGAUAGCUGGUUCUCCCCGAAAGCUAUUUAGGUAGCGCCUCGUGAAUUCAUCUCCGGGGGUAGAGCACUGUUUCGGCAAGGGGGUCAUCCCGACUUACCAACCCGAUGCAAACUGCGAAUACCGGAGAAUGUUAUCACGGGAGACACACGGCGGGUGCUAACGUCCGUCGUGAAGAGGGAAACAACCCAGACCGCCAGCUAAGGUCCCAAAGUCAUGGUUAAGUGGGAAACGAUGUGGGAAGGCCCAGACAGCCAGGAUGUUGGCUUAGAAGCAGCCAUCAUUUAAAGAAAGCGUAAUAGCUCACUGGUCGAGUCGGCCUGCGCGGAAGAUGUAACGGGGCUAAACCAUGCACCGAAGCUGCGGCAGCGACACUAUGUGUUGUUGGGUAGGGGAGCGUUCUGUAAGCCUGUGAAGGUGGCCUGUGAGGGUUGCUGGAGGUAUCAGAAGUGCGAAUGCUGACAUAAGUAACGAUAAAGCGGGUGAAAAGCCCGCUCGCCGGAAGACCAAGGGUUCCUGUCCAACGUUAAUCGGGGCAGGGUGAGUCGACCCCUAAGGCGAGGCCGAAAGGCGUAGUCGAUGGGAAACAGGUUAAUAUUCCUGUACUUGGUGUUACUGCGAAGGGGGGACGGAGAAGGCUAUGUUGGCCGGGCGACGGUUGUCCCGGUUUAAGCGUGUAGGCUGGUUUUCCAGGCAAAUCCGGAAAACCAAGGCUGAGGCGUGAUGACGAGGCACUACGGUGCUGAAGCGACAAAUGCCCUGCUUCCAGGAAAAGCCUCUAAGCAUCAGGUAACAUCAAAUCGUACCCCAAACCGACACAGGUGGUCAGGUAGAGAAUACCAAGGCGCUUGAGAGAACUCGGGUGAAGGAACUAGGCAAAAUGGUGCCGUAACUUCGGGAG
rnacentral:rRNA from 1 species